rnacentral:rRNA from 1 species
AGUGGCGACGGGUGAGUAACACGUUGGAACCUAGCCCCAAAGUAAGGGAUAAGCCACCGAAAGGUGGUCUAAUACCUUAUAGUAUCCAUCUCGUAUGGAUUAAAGCUUUAUGCGCUUUGGGAGGGGCCUGCGUUUGAUUAGCUAGUUGGUGAGGUAAAAGCUCACCAAGGCGACGAUCAAUAGCUGGUUUGAGAGGAUGACCAGCCACACUGGGACUGAGAUACGGCCCAGACUCCUACGGGAGGCAGCAGUAAGGAAUCUUCCACAAUGGGGCAACCCUGAUGGAGCAAUACCGCGUGCAGGAUGAAGCGUUUCGGCGUGUAAACUGCUUUUAUCACCGAAGAUUAUGACUGUAGGUGAAGAAUAAGGACCGGCUAACUACGUG